GCCCGGGUGCCGGAACUGGCAGACGGAUGCGCCUUAAAAGCGCUGGUCCCGAGAGGGACGUGUGGGUUCGAAUCCCACCCCGGGCA
rnacentral:tRNA from 1 species